rnacentral:rRNA from 1 species
GACGUAGGAUGCAAGCGUUGUCCGGAUUUAUUGGGCGUAAAGAGUUCGUAGGCGGUUCGUUAAGUCUGAUGUUAAAGACUGGGGCUCAACCCCGGGAGUGCAUUGGAUACUGGCGGACUGGAGUGUGGUAGAGGCUAGUGGAAUUCCCAGUGUAGAGGUGAAAUUCGUAGAUAUUGGGAAGAACACCGGUGGCGAAGGCGGCCAUCUGGCCUGCAAUUGACGCUGAGGCGCGAAAGCGUGGGGAGCAAACAGG